rnacentral:tRNA from 2 species
GGACAUUUAGCUCAGCGGUAGAGCGAUCGCUUCACAUGCGAUAGGCCGUAGGUUCGAUCCCUACAAUGUCCA